AGUGAACGCUGGCGGUAGGCCUAACACAUGCAAGUCGAACGGCAGCACAGUAAGAGCCUGCUCUUACGGGUGGCGAGUGGCGGACGGGUGAGGAAUACAUCGGAAUCUACUUUUUCGUGGGGGAUAACGUAGGGAAACUUACGCUAAUACCGCAUACGACCUACGGGUGAAAGCAGUGGAUCUUCGGACCUUGCGCGAUUGAAUGAGCCGAUGUCGGAUUAGCUAGUUGGCGGGGUAAAGGCCCACCAAGGCGACGAUCCGUAGCUGGUCUGAGAGGAUGAUCAGCCACACUGGAACUGAGACACGGUCCAGACUCCUACGGGAGGCAGCAGUGGGGAAUAUUGGACAAUGGGCGCAAGCCUGAUCCAGCCAUACCGCGUGGGUGAAGAAGGCCUUCGGGUUGUAAAGCCCUUUUGUUGGGAAAGAAAAGCAGCAGGUUAAUACCCCGCUGUUCUGACGGUACCCAAAGAAUAAGCACCGGCUAACUUCGUG
rnacentral:rRNA from 1 species